rnacentral:rRNA from 1 species
AUGUCAAAUCAUCAUGCCCCUUAUGUCUUGGGCUACACACGUGCUACAAUGGGUCAUACAACGUGAAGCGAGGCCGUGAGGCGGAGCGGAUCACGAAAGUGGCCCCCAGUUCGGAUUGCAGGCUGCAACCCGCCUGCAUGAAGUUGGAAUCGCUAGUAAUCGCGAAUCAGCAUGUCGCGGUGAAUACGUUCCCGGGCCUU